CCCUUAGAUGUUCUGGGCCGCACGCGUGCUACACUGAUGCAUUCAACGAGUCUAAAACCUGGUCUGAUAGGGCUGGGUAAUCUUUUGAAAGUGCAUCGUGAUUGGGAUAGAUGAUUGCAAUUCUUCAUCUUCAACGAGGAAUGCCUAGUAAACGCAAGUCAUCAGCUUGCAUUGAUUACGUCCCUGCCCUUUGUACACACCGCCCGUCGCUCCUACCGAUUGAAUGAUCCGAUGAAUACCAUGGAUUGAGAGUACGAAUAGGUUCGCUUAUUUCUGCUUCUCAAGAAGUGGAGUAAAUCUUAUCAUUUAGAGGAAGGAGAAGUCGUAACA
rnacentral:rRNA from 1 species